rnacentral:rRNA from 2 species
AAUCCAUAGGUUAAUGAGGCGAACCGGGGGAACUGAAACAUCUAAGUACCCCGAGGAAAAGAAAUCAACCGAGAUUCCCCCAGUAGCGGCGAGCGAACGGGGAGGAGCCCAGAGCCUGAAUCAGCAUGUGUGUUAGUGGAAGCGUCUGGAAAGGCGCGCGAUACAGGGUGACAGCCCCGUACACAAAAGCGCAUGUGCUGUGAGCUCGAUGAGUAGGGCGGGACACGUGGUAUCCUGUCUGAAUAUGGGGGGACCAUCCUCCAAGGCUAAAUACUCCUGACUGACCGAUAGUGAACCAGUACCGUGAGGGAAAGGCGAAAAGAACCCCGGCGAGGGGAGUGAAAAAGAACCUGAAACCGUGUACGUACAAGCAGUGGGAGCACCCUUUGGGUGUGACUGCGUACCUUUUGUAUAAUGGGUCAGCGACUUAUAUUCUGUAGCAAGGUUAACCGAAUAGGGGAGCCGGAGGGAAACCGAGUCUUAACCGGGCGUUAAGUUGCAGGGUAUAGACCCGAAACCCGGUGAUCUAGCCAUGGGCAGGUUGAAGGUUGGGUAACACUAACUGGAGGACCGAACCGACUAAUGUUGAAAAAUUAGCGGAUGACCUGUGGCUGGGGGUGAAAGGCCAAUCAAACCGGGAGAUAGCUGGUUCUCCCCGAAAGCUAUUUAGGUAGCGCCUCGUGAAUUCAUCUCCGGGGGUAGAGCACUGUUUCGGCUAGGGGGCCAUCCCGGCUUACCAACCCGAUGCAAACUGCGAAUACCGGAGAAUGUUAUCACGGGAGACACACGGCGGGUGCUAACGUCCGUCGUGAAGAGGGAAACAACCCAGACCGCCAGCUAAGGUCCCAAAGUCAUGGUUAAGUGGGAAACGAUGUGGGAAGGCCCAGACAGCCAGGAUGUUGGCUUAGAAGCAGCCAUCAUUUAAAGAAAGCGUAAUAGCUCACUGGUCGAGUCGGCCUGCGCGGAAGAUGUAACGGGGCUAAACCAUGCACCGAAGCUGCGGCAGCGACACUGUGUGUUGUUGGGUAGGGGAGCGUUCUGUAAGCCUGUGAAGGUGUGUCGUGAGGCAUGCUGGAGGUAUCAGAAGUGCGAAUGCUGACAUAAGUAACGAUAAAGCGGGUGAAAAGCCCGCUCGCCGGAAGACCAAGGGUUCCUGUCCAACGUUAAUCGGGGCAGGGUGAGUCGACCCCUAAGGCGAGGCCGAAAGGCGUAGUCGAUGGGAAACGGGUUAAUAUUCCCGUACUUGGUGUUACUGCGAAGGGGGGACGGAGAAGGCUAUGUUGGCCGGGCGACGGUUGUCCCGGUU